AGAGCGAACGCUGGCGGCAGGCCUAACACAUGCAAGUCGAGCGGAAAGGCCCUUCGGGGUACUCGAGCGGCGAACGGGUGAGUAACACGUGAGCAACCUGCCCUUAGCUCUGGGAUAGCUCCGGGAAACCGGAAUUAAUACCGGAUAUGACCUAGGCCGACAUCGGCCGUGGUGGAAAGUUUUUCGGCUAGGGAUGGACUCGCGGCCUAUCAGCUAGUUGGUGGGGUAAUGGCCUACCAAGGCGACGACGGGUA
rnacentral:rRNA from 1 species